rnacentral:rRNA from 1 species
UUCUUGAGUGUGUACUUGUUAAGCCUUUUAAGAAAAAAGUUAUUAACUUAAGGAAUUAUAACAAAGAAGCAACACGUAAAUGGAUUUUCCAUUUUUUAGUGUGUAUCAAUCGAGUUUCUGACCUAUCAGCUUUUGAUGUUAGGGUAUUGGCCUAACAUGGCUAUGACGGGUAACGGGGAAUUAGAGUUCGAUUCCGGAGAGGGAGCCUGAGAAAUAGCUACCACAUCUAAGGAAGGCAGCAGGCGCGUAAAUUACCCAAUUCUAAAGAAGAGAGGUAGUGACAAGAAAUAACAAUACAAGGCCAAUCUGGCUUUGUAAUUGGAAUGAUGGGAAUUUAAAACCUUCCCAAAACUCAAUUGGAGGGCAAGUCUGGUGCCAGCAGCCGCGGUAAUUCCAGCUCCAAUAGCGUAUAUUAAAAUUGUUGCAGUUAAAACGCUCGUAGUUGAAUUUCAAAGAAUCGAUAUUUUAAGUAACGCUUUGUAGAUUAAUCCACAUAACUGAUACUACGUAUCGACUUUGUGCGCAUUUUUCUACUUAUGUGUUCUUUUAAUUAAAAUGAUUCUUUUUAAGAUCUUUCUUUAUUGCUUCGGCAUUUUAGGAGAUCUUGUUACUUUGAGUAAAUUAGAGUGUUCAAAGCAAACAGAUUAUAGCAUCUUUAUGCGUUUGAAUACUACAGCAUGGAAUAACAAAAUUGAACAAGUCAGAAUUUUGUUCUUUUUUCUUAUUUUGGCUUAGUUACGAUUAAUAGGAGUAGCUUGGGGGCAUUUGUAUUCAGAUGUCGGAGGUGAAAUUCUUAGAUUUUCUGGAGACAAACAACUGCGAAAGCAUUUGCCUAAAAUACUUCCAUUAAUCAAGAACGAAAGUUAAGGGAGUGAAGACGAUCAGAUACCGUCGUAAUCUUAACCAUAAACUAUGCCGACUAGGC